UGGGGGAAUUUUUGGACAAUGGGGGGAAACCCUGAUCCAGCCAUCCCGCGUGUGCGAUGAAGGCCUUCGGGUUGUAAAGCACUUUUGGCAGGAAAGAAACGUCGCGGGUUAAUACCCCGCGGAACUGACGGUACCUGCAGAAUAAGCACCGGCUAACUACGUGCCAGCAGCCGCGGUAAUACGUAGGGUGCAAGCGUUAAUCGGAAUUACUGGGCGUAAAGCGUGCGCAGGCGGUUCGGAAAGAAAGAUGUGAAAUCCCAGAGCUUAACUUUGGAACUGCAUUUUUAACUACCGGGCUAGAGUGUGUCAGAGGGAGGUGGAAUUCCGCGUGUAGCAGUGAAAUGCGUAGAUAUGCGGAGGAACACCGAUGGCGAAAGGCAGCCUCCUGGGAUAACACUGACGCUCAUGCACGAAAGCGUGGGGAGCAAACAGGAUUAGAUACCCUGGUAGUCCACGCCCUAAACGAUGUCAACUAGCUGUUGGGGUCUUCGGACCUUGGUAGCGCAGCUAACGCG
rnacentral:rRNA from 1 species